UCCGUAGGCGGUUGCGCAAGUCUGGUGUGAAAUCUUCGCCGCUCAACGGGAAGAGGGCCAUUGGAAACUGCGCAACUUGAGUAUGGUAGAGGCAAGCGGAAUUCCUGGUGUAGCGGUGGAAUGUGUAGAUAUCAGGAAGAACAUCUGUGGCGAAGGCGGCUUGCUGGGCCAUCACUGACGCUGAGGGACGAAAGCGUGGGGAGCAAACGGGAUUAGAUACCCCGGUAGUCCACGCCGUAAACGGUGCACACUAGGUGUAGGGGGUAUCGACCCCCCCUGUGCCGACGUUAACACAUUAAGUGUGCCGCCUGGGGAGUACGGCCGCAAGGUUGAA
rnacentral:rRNA from 1 species